rnacentral:rRNA from 1 species
GACGAACGCUGGCGGCGUGCUUAACACAUGCCAGUCGAACGGAAAGGCCCCUUUGGGGGUACUCGAGUGGCGAACGGGUGAGUAACACGUGAGUAACCUGCCCUUGACUUCGGGAUAACUUCAGGAAACUGGGGCUAAUACCGGAUAGGAAUCCUUGCUGCAUGGUGGGGGUUGGAAAGCUUCGGCGGUUUUGGAUGGACUCGCGGCUUAUCAGCUUGUUGGUGGGGUAGUGGCUUACCAAGGCUUUGACGGGUAGCCGGCCUGAGAGGGCGACCGGCCACAUUGGGACUGAGAUACGGCCCAGACGCCUACGGGAGGCAGCAGUGGGGAAUAUUGCACAAUGGGCGGAAGCCUUAUGCAGCAACGCCGCGUGCGGGAUGACGGCCUUCGGGUUGUAAACCGCUUUCAGCAGGGGCGAAGCUUUUGUGACGGUACCUGCAGAAGAAGCACCGGCUAACUACGUG